rnacentral:rRNA from 1 species
AAUAGAUACCCGGGUAGUCCACGCCGUAAACGAUGUCGACUUGGAGGCUGUUCCCUUGAGGAGUGGCUUCCGGAGCUAACGCGUUAAGUCGACCGCCUGGGGAGUACGGCCGCAAGGUUAAAACUCAAAUGAAUUGACGGGGGCCCGCACAAGCGGUGGAGCAUGUGGUUUAAUUCGAUGCAACGCGAAGAACCUUACCUACUCUUGACAUCCAGAGAAUUUAGCAGAGAUGCUUUAGUGCCUUCGGGAACUCUGAGACAGGUGCUGCAUGGCUGUCGUCAGCUCGUGUUGUGAAAUGUUGGGUUAAGUCCCGCAACGAGCGCAACCCUUAUCCUUUGUUGCCAGCACGUAAUGGUGGGAACUCAAAGGAGACUGCCGGUGAUAAACCGGAGGAAGGUGGGGAUGACGUCAAGUCAUCAUGGCCCUUACGAGUAGGGCUACACACGUGCUACAAUGGCGCAUACAAAGAGAAGCGACCUCGCGAGAGCAAGCGGACCUCAUAAAGUGCGUCGUAGUCCGGA